rnacentral:rRNA from 1 species
AGCGAACGCUGGCGGCAGGCCUAACACAUGCAAGUCGAACGAAGUCUUCGGACCUAGUGGCGGACGGGUGAGUAACACGUGGGAACGUACCUUUUGGUUCGGAACAACUCAGGGAAACUUGAGCUAAUACCGGAUGAGCCCUUAGGGGGAAAGAUUUAUCGCCGAAAGAGCGGCCCGCGUUAGAUUAGCUAGUUGGUGAGGUAAAGGCUCACCAAGGCUACGAUCUAUAGCUGGUCUGAGAGGAUGAUCAGCCACACUGGGACUGAGACACGGCCCAGACUCCUACGGGAGGCAGCAGUGGGGAAUUUCGCGCAAUGGGCGAAAGCCUGACGCAGCCAUGCCGCGUGAAUGAUGUAGGUCUUAGGAUUGUAAAAUUCUUUCACCGGGGACGAUAAUGACGGUACCCGGAGAAGAAGCCCCGGCUAACUUCGUGCCAGCCGCCGCCGUAACAC